rnacentral:rRNA from 1 species
AACGUAGGAGGCAAGCGUUAUCCGGAUUUACUGGGCGUAAAGCGCGUGCAGGCGGUCUGGUAAGUUGGAUGUGAAAGCUCCCGGCUCAACUUGGAGAGGUCGUUCAAAACUGCCAGACUGGAGGACGGUAGAGGGAGGUGGAAUUCCGGGUGUAGUGGUGAAAUGCGUAGAUAUCCGGAGGAACACCAGUGGCGAAAGCGGCCUCCUGGACCGUCCCUGACGCUCAGGCGCGAAAGCUAGGGGAGCAAACGUG